rnacentral:tRNA from 1 species
GCGCCUGUAGCUUAAUUGGAUAGAGCAUCAGUCUACGGAACUGAGGGUUGCUGGUUCGAAUCCAGCCAGGCGCA